CUGUGACGUCAUACUGGUUAACGCUAAGCCACGUGAAGCCGGACACAAGGGCUACACUAAUCUUUGGGCUGGAGUAGCCUGUGGUUUUUAAGGCUUCGUGUCUCUUCGCGUUAAACGAUCGCAGAACGAUUUAUUUCUCUUUUUCACCUCGAUCUUUGGCCUUGUGUGAUUUACCAAAACCAACAUGUGAAGUUACAACGCUGACGAAGGAGUUUCAUCAGUAGAGUGUGUCCUGGUAAAUGUGUGCUCGGAAACAUGCAGAUUACAGUAUUUACAGAGCCGACCUUGAGGCACCCACUGAUGGAUAAUCUGUUUACCUAAAAACAGCCCACCACAAUCCAUGUUUACCAGCUGUGAAAGUGCAGGCCAAAAAUCUUCCUUCACCUGUGGGCCUCUACCCACAUGUAGAUAAGCACUUCAGGAGAAACCUGCCUGUGAUCUGCUAAGAUGCAAAGAUUCAACUCUGGCCCAUUGUCAUCCCAACACCUCAUCUGCCAUCAGUUUCGUUUAGUGUCGGUCUAUUGCAAAAGUUCUUAUAAACUUUAAAUGAGAGUUUGUGUUAAGCAGGGGUUUCCAAACUUUUCAUUCCACAACAUAUUAAGCCCAGGAUACACUGCAGGAUUUUUGCAAUCCAAUAAGACCUUAUCACACUGUGUGACAAGGAUUGUUUAAACUUCAGCAGUAGACUGUCGAUGAAGACACCUAUUGCAUCUGAAGCUGCGACAUCUGUCAUCAGCAUGCGCUAGUGGUAAACAAAUACAGGUUUGCAGAUCGUAGAAGCAAACACAUUGUUGAUGUGCGAUGAUCAUGCUGAACUUCUUACACUGUCAUAAAACUAUCGUAGGUGUCUUUGGUCCAAGG